rnacentral:rRNA from 1 species
GAUGAACGCUAGCGGGAGGCCUAACACAUGCAAGCCGAGCGGUAUUGUUUCUUCGGAAAUGAGAGAGCGGCGUACGGGUGCGGAACACGUGUGCAACCUGCCUUUAUCUGGGGGAUAGCCUUUCGAAAGGAAGAUUAAUACUCCAUAACAUAUUGAUUGGCAUCAAUUAAUAUUGAAAGCUCCGGCGGAUAGAGAAUGGCACGCGCAAGAUUAGCUAGUUGGUGAGGUAACGGCUCACCAAGGCGAUGAUCUUUAGGGGGCCUGAGAGGGUGAUCCCCCACACUGGUACUGAGACACGGACCAGACUCCUACGGGAGGCAGCAGUGAGGAAUAUUGGUCAAUGGGUGCAAGCCUGAACCAGCCAUCCCGCGUGAAGGACGACUGCCCUAUGGGUUGUAAACUUCUUUUGUAUAGGGAUAAACCUACCCUCGUGAGGGUAGCUGAAGGUACUAUACGAAUAAGCACCGGCUAACUCCGUGCCAGCCGCCGCGGUAAAAC